UAUGCAGUUGUUGAGGUAAUUUUUUUUUUACUCUUUUUACUAUGCAAAUGCAAACCUAAAUAGUGUUUCAUCAAAAGUAUAGCAAGUCACUAAUAAUGACAAGCAUGAAAAUGACCAGAGAAGUUCGCCAACAAGCUCCAUUAUGUCAAGCCCUUAUAAAAGUGGAGCAGUUUUACUUGAUUGUACUUUUUAUUAACAUGUUUAGGAUAUCCCUGUACUGAUGUUACUCAGCAGAUUGCUAAGCGAACUGUGCUGUACCUGAAAAUGACUAGAGAAGCCGGCUAGCAAUCUUCAAUGUGCCAGGUGUCUUCUAAGGUGUGACAACUAGCAUGAAAAUGACUGGAGAAGCUCCCCAACAAUAUCCGCUGUAUCAGGCAUCUUCAAAGGUUUAUGGGCCAAGGAACCUUGGAAUUCAUUCCUAGAAGUGUGAGGUGCUGUGCAAAUCAAAGGGACACAUGCAUUGCAUCUGGACAUCAAACCCACCAAGAUAUUCUCUGCACUCUUGUAAAGCAAGAUGUCAGGAAAAUGGCAACCUCGGAUGGGCCACUUCCUGCCUUUUGCCCCGAAUGUGAUUGGCCACUGCCGAAAAGAGACACGAGAUGAGUGAAACUGCUGCUGGCAAUGCAGGCAACCCCGCCAACAUUGCGUCUGGGCCGGACCACCACACCAUACGGCUACGUGGUGAAUGUUUAAGUGAAACUCCCCCGCGUUCUCCCCAUACAAUAAAAAAGGCUCAGUGAUUGCAAUUAAGUCCUUUGUGUUGCUUUUAUAUGGUUAUUGGCUGCUCCCGCUCACAGGUUGGCCGUGUCAAAGUUCUCACAGUCGGGAGGGCAUGAUUCGUUCUGGCAACUAUCUGCUAACAAUGUCCGUCUCGCGUGGGUGACAAAGGAGCGGCGAGGCGGAGGCUCUCCGGAGGCUCUCCGGAGGCUGUGCUAAAUUUUGGACCCAUCUGAGUCCCCAUUCGCUUGGCGUCAACCCUGUCUAAGGGCCGUGCAUUGAGCUGCUGCUUACUUCAAGCUUCCUCACAGACUCAAUAAAGGGACAUGUGCAUGUUUGUAAAUGGAGAAAUCAUAAGAAUUGGUGUUGUCCUGGUCAAACUUCCUGGUGGGUCAGGUUAGGCUCAUGUUUGGUCAUUUCUUUGUGAUUUAUUCCAAAAUGUAGGAGGUUGCAACCAAAACUGCGACUAUUGGGUUUUUUUUGGGUCUACAUUGAAUCAUGCCACUUUUGUGAUGUGUUGUAUGGUGCAGGCCUGGCUCUAAUCAUUUUACUUUUUCAUUUCAAUACAGCAGCGCAGGAAAAAAAGCAAUUUCAUGUGAAGACAUACUUUUGAGGAUCAAAAUAAAAAUGAAUGAUGAAAAAUGUCACUCACUGCUGAUAUAAAUCUAUUAAAACGAUCA